rnacentral:rRNA from 1 species
UACAGAGGUCGCAAGCGUUGUUCGGAUUCAUUGGGCGUAAAGGGUGCGUAGGCGGCGCGGUAAGUCGGGUGUGAAAUCUCGGAGCUUAACUCCGAAACUGCAUUUGAUACUGCCGUGCUUGAGGACUGGAGAGGAGACUGGAAUUUACGGUGUAGCGGUGAAAUGCGUAGAUAUCGUAAGGAAGACCAGUGGCGAAGGCGGGUCUCUGGACAGUUCCUGACGCUGAGGCACGAAGGUCAGGGGAGCAAACGGG